UCCAUAUUUGAUAAAUAAAUAAAUAUAUAUAAAUAAAAUAUAAAGAAGGAGGAAUCUGAAUGUAGGGUUAUUGAGUUGUGUUGUGUGAAUGCAGUGGUAUGGGUGAGCACUAGAGGCUGUGUAAUGAAUGAAUGGUAGAAUUGGUUCCAAUGAAGGUGGGCGUAUAAAUGGAAAUUAGGCGUACAUAUAGCAGGUUGAAAAAACUGAUGAGGAUGCCGUACACGAAAAACAUGAACGAGGAAGCCAAAGCCAAAACCAGAAAACCCAAACCCAGUUUCGUUUCUUCUAUCACCACCACUUCCCAGACACUCUUCGCCAUGGCGCGAAAACCUCUUCUCAAGCAAACCCUAGCUACGCUCUUUCUCCUCUUCGUCCUCUAUGCAAUCUUCAACGCCUUCUUCUACCCAACCGAUUCCUCCGCCUUCGACUCCACCUUCUCCUUCAACUCCGCCUCCUCCGUUCUCCUCGCUGGCACCGGCGCCAAAUUCCCCACCGUAAAAGUCUUCCUUUACGAUCUCCCCAGCAGGUUCACCCACGGCGUCAUCCGCCACCACGCCCUCGCGCGUGGUGCACACUUCUCCGAACAACACGAUGACGUCUCCUUGCUCAAGUACCCCGGCCACCAGCACAUGGCCGAGUGGUACCUCUUUGCGGAUCUCUCCCGAAACGAUUCCGGACGAUCAGGCUCGCCCGUGGUUCGCGUCAUGGAUCCCGAGGAGGCCGAUUUCUUCUUCGUGCCGUUCUUCUCGUCGCUGAGUCUCAUCGUGAACCCGCCUCGACCUCCCGGCUCGGCUGCCAGUUUGGAGAAACCGAUCUACAGCGACGAGGAGAAUCAGGAGGCGCUGGUGGAGUGGCUUGAGGAGCAGGAGUAUUGGAAGAGGAGCAACGGGAGGGACCACGUGAUCGUGGCUUCGGAUCCGAAUGCGAUGUACCGGGUUAUCGACCGGAUAAAAAAUUGUGUGCUGCUUGUCUCAGAUUUCGGGCGGUUGCGACCCGACCAGGGAUCGCUGGUGAAGGAUGUUGUUGUACCCUACUCGCACCGCAUCAGAACGUACCCUGGUGAUGUCGGUGUCGCCGAUCGCAAGACCUUGUUAUUUUUCAUGGGCAAUCGGUAUCGCAAAGAGGGAGGGAAAAUCCGUGAUAUACUCUUUCAAAUUCUAGAAAAUGAGGAGGAUGUCAUAAUAAAGCAUGGAGCACAAUCCAGAGAGAGUCGACGGGCAGCUUCACAAGGAAUGCAUACAUCCAAGUUCUGUUUACAUCCUGCAGGAGAUACUCCAUCAGCCUGCCGACUGUUUGAUGCUAUAGUUAGCUUGUGCAUUCCAGUCAUUGUCAGUGAUAGUAUUGAGUUGCCUUUUGAAGAUACUUUAGACUAUAGAAAAUUUGCUGUGUUUGUGGAAACUACUUCUGCUAUAAAGCCAGGAUAUUUGGUGUCAAAAUUGAGAGCUCUGUCCAAACAAAGAAUCUUACAAUACCAAAAGGAACUAAAGGAGGUUUGGGAGAAGAUACAUGCUCAUUUCACUUCUCAAACCAAAGCUCGGGCUCGUUAGCUAUGCAUCGAGCUUCAUACCAUGAAGAAAUGUGAACUACCAAUCAAUUAGUUCCUUUUGUGCAUCAAAGCAUUGGUUCAUUCUCUUUAUUCAAUUGGCGAUCCUGUAUUUGAAUGCGGACAACUCAAUAUUAUCCUUGAAGGACUUUUGGUUGAAUGAGUCCUUCCUCUCUUUCAUCAAUAGUAACCCAGACUUGUUCUUGUUAGACGAAGUUGAAUCUCUCCUCGUUACUCAAGAAGCACAUAUUGCAAAGUUUUGGCAUAAUACUAACAAUAUUUCUUUGGAUCCCCCUCAAGCAAAUUCUCAAACAGCUUCUACUCUCAUGUCCACCUUGCUCAGAUGGCUUCUUAUUCUUCUUUGACUUUUCAUCCUCCUUCCUGUCAUGGUGGUUGUUUUCAAUGUGGCCGAGUCGUGGACGUCGAAGUGGACAUGUUGGUCAUGGAAGUAUUCAAUGUCAAGUUUGCAACAAAUAUGGUCACACAGCAACCCUUUGCUAUCAUCGCUUUAACCCCAACUAUGUUCUUCAACCCUACAAUAUUCCUUUUCCUCAAAAUCUGGCACCGUAUAUCCUUCAUAUCAGCCAUCAUUUCCAGGUAUACCACCUCCAAGUGCAUUUGCUCAUUUUCUAGGCUAUCAACUUCCAGGGCCAUCCACUACGUAUUGCCUUCACUUCACCACUUGUUUUUGCCUUCCUCUUAGGCCCAUUACAAUACCACUGUAUCGGCUUCACAACCCCAUGCUUAUGUUUCUUAGUGCACACUGGUCUAUCAACCUGUUCAACAAUCUCAGAAUUCAGGAGAUGCUUGUGUCUUCCUUGGGAAUGGACAAGGUUAAGCGAUACUUCGAAUAUGAAGAACCCAACGGGACAGUUAAUGAGAUCUGGCGCCAAGUUUCGAAAAAACUUCCCUUGAUUAAAUUGAUGAUUAACCGUGAGAAAAGGCUUUUUGGAAGGGAAUCGGUGUGCUCUUGCGUAUGCACAAACCAGACUACGGUUAUUAACCUAUAGCACUUGUCC